GCGAUCCGGGUCUGUGGUUGCAAAUCCAGGCCAGGCACGGGCGAAGGGAUCCACGUAAGCGGUUGAAGAAGAGUAGACCGUGAGCAUGGCGUGCUUUAGAAGUAAGUCCUCCGGAAAUCGGGUAAAGGCAAGUGUGGGGGCAAAGACCAGGUCAGCCGGAUAUGC
rnacentral:ncRNA from 12 species